CCCUAUCUUAGUGCACCUGAAGGGAA
rnacentral:piRNA from 1 species